GACGUAGGGCGCGAGCGUUGUCCGGAUUUAUUGGGUUUAAAGGGUGCGUAGGCGGUUUUUUAAGUCAGUGGUGAAAUACGGCAGCUCAACUGUCGAGGUGCCAUUGAUACUGGGAAACUUGAGUACUGAUGAGGUAGGCGGAAUGGACGGUGUAGCGGUGAAAUGCUUAGAUAUCGUCCAGAACACCGAUAGCGAAGGCAGCUUACUAAGGAGUAACUGACGCUGAGGCACGAAAGUGUGGGGAGCAAACAGG
rnacentral:rRNA from 1 species